ensembl:lncRNA
AUGAGUAUGUCAACCAUCCCCACCAGUUUUCCUGAGAGUACAGUGCAGUCCUCAUCUCCUGAACUCUCAGAUGAGCUCACCACUGCCCUCGCCGCAGGGCGAUGGUGGGCAAUAAUGGAGGUUUCUUCUCCUAUAUCUGAAGAGUCUGAGUAUGGGGACUUCACCUCAGUGCAGUGGUGGGGAACAAUGGAGGAAGGAGAAACUUCAUGCCCCAAGUCUCUGGUCUUCAGUGGUGAAUCUGAGAAGGCUGAGUCCCCGCACUCAGGCUUCCCAGCUGCAACACUGAAGACCAAGGAGCUGUGGAGGCAGAAGAAGACACAGGGUCCACCCAUGCCUCCCAGGUCCCAACAGGGAGCACCUGUGCAUGCAUAUACCAAGAAGAGGGACCACACCUCAACCCUUGUCUUCAACUAUGCAUCUAAGAAGGCUGAUUCUCCACACUCAGGCUUUACAGAUGCAAUAGUGAAGACCACGGAUCAGCAGAGGAAGUGGAGGCAGAAGAAGCCUCGGGGAGCACCUGUGCUUGCCGAGUCUGAGAGGGCUGAGUGUGGGGACUCAGAAUUCUCUAAUGAAAUACUGAAGACCACUAAGCAGGGGAGGCAACAGCAAAGGAAGUGGACCGAGAAGAAGCCUCAGGUAGCACCUGAGCCUGCUGGGUACCCGCAGGGACCACCUGUGACCACUGGCUCUCAACGAAGAGGAAAGGUCAUGAUCCCCGAGCAUCUGAGGCAACAUCUGCUUAGGGCCGCUUCUGAACUGGAAGCACCUGUGCAAGCUAGGUCCCCACAGAGAGCACCAGUGCCCACAGCGUCUCCUCAACACACACCCAUGUGCACCAAGUCUCUACAGACAGAAGCUAUGCCUGCCCCAAAGGUGCCAAAACCAAAGAUCCCUGAGCAGCUGAGGCAAGAGCUGCUGCAGCAGAAGCCCAACAAGACCCAAGAGAGGCAAAGGCUUAAGAUACCUGAGCGACUGAGUCAGGAGCUGCUGCAGCUGUCGGCUCGAGCCUCUUCUGUUCAAGGAGCACCUGCACCCAACAAGACCCCAGAGAGGCAAAUAAUUAAACUCCCUCAGCCGCUGAGGCAGGAGCUCCUGCAGGUUUCGUCUUGUGCCUCUUCUGUUCAAGGAGCACCUGCACCCAACAAGACCCCGGAGAGUCAAAGACUUAAAAUCCCUCAGCCGCUGAGGCAGGAGCUCCUGCAGCUAUUACCUCAAACCACUUCUGUGAAGGAAGCACCCACGCCCACCAAGACCCGAGACAGGCUCAAGAUACCUGAGCCGCUGAGGCAGGAGCUGCUCCAGCUGUCGGCUCGAACCUCUUCUGAGAAGGGAGCACCUGCACCCAACAAGACCCCGGAGAGGCAAAGACUUAAAAUCCCUCAGCCGCUGAGGCAGGAGCUCCUGCAGCUGUCGGCUCGAGCCUCUUCUGUUCAAGGAGCACCUGUGCCUCAAAAGACCCCAGAGAGGCAAAGACUUAAACUCCCUCAGCCGCUGAGGCAGGAGCUCCUGCAGGUUUCAUCUUGU